UACAGAGACUGCAAGCGUUAUUCGGAUUCACUGGGCGUAAAGGGUGCGCAGGCGGCCAAGUGUGUUAGGCGUGAAAGCCUGAGGCUUAACCUCAGAAUUGCACCUAAAACUACAUGGCUAGAGCAUUGGAGAGGGUAGCGGAAUUUACGGUGUAGCAGUGAAAUGCGUAGAGAUCGUAAGGAAGGCCAGUGGCGAAGGCGAGUUCCUGGACAGUUACUGACGCUGAGGCACGAAGGCCAGGGGAGCAAACGGG
rnacentral:rRNA from 1 species